GCGAGUCCAACUGGCUCAGUUGGGUAAGCGCCCGCUUCUCAAGCGAGAGAUGCGGGUUCGAAUCAACGCUGACAUGUA
rnacentral:tRNA from 1 species